CGGGGCGUGGCUCAGCUGGAUAGAGCGCUCGGUUCGGGACCGUGAGGUCGCUGGUUCAAAUCCAGUCGCCCCGA
rnacentral:tRNA from 1 species